rnacentral:rRNA from 1 species
GGAGAAAAGCAGGGGAUCGAAAGACCUUAUGCUUUUGGAGCGGCCGAUGUCUGAUUAGCUAGUUGGUAAGGUAAUGGCUUACCAAGGCAACGAUCAGUAGUUGGUCUGAGAGGACGACCAGCCACACUGGGACUGAGACACGGCCCAGACUCCUACGGGAGGCAGCAGUGGGGAAUUUUGGACAAUGGGCGCAAGCCUGAUCCUGCAAUGCCGCGUGAGUGAAGAAGGCCUUCGGGUUGUAAAGCUCUUUCAGUUGAGAAGAAAAGAUUGUGACUAAUAAUUGCAAUUCAUGACGGUAUCAACAGAAGAAGCACCGGCUAACUACGUGCCAGCAGCCGCGGUAAUACGUAGGGUGCGAGCGUUAAUCGGAAUUACUGGGCGUAAAGGGUGCGCAGGCGGUUCUGUAAGUCAGAUGUGAAAUCCCCGGGCUUAACCUGGGAACUGCGUUUUGAAAA